GAACGUGGCGGGGACCCAAGUCUGGUUAAAACCAACCCUGAGACCUGCGGUGGCA
rnacentral:rRNA from 1 species